GACGAACCGUGCAAACGUUAUUCGGAAUCACUGGGCAUAAAGGGCGCGUAGGCGGCUCCAAAAGUCAGGGGUGAAAUCCGGCAGCUUAACGGUCGCAGUGCCUUUGAUACUGUGGAGCUAGAGGGAGGUAGGGGUCUGUGGAACUUCCGGUGGAGCGGUGAAAUGCGUUGAUAUCGGAAGGAACGCCGGUGGCGAAAGCGACGGACUGGAUCUCUUCUGACGCUGAGGCGCGAAAGCCAGGGGAGCAAACGGG
rnacentral:rRNA from 1 species